GGAGAAGGGCUGUAGCUCAGUGGUAGAGCAUCUGGCUUUGCACCCAGAAGGCCCCAUGUUCAAUCCCCAUCUCCA